AGACGUGAAGUGGGAGAACAUCUCCUCAUCUGAUUACAUGAUUUUUCCAUUGAGUUUGGCAGUUUUUUUUUUCCAUUGCCCACACAGUAAAACAGACAUCUGCAACCGUCACUUUCAUUAUUCCCCACAUUAUCAUACCUGAAAGUCACGUUUUAUGUGAGAAAGGCAACGAAAUCCAGGCAGUUUUCAUCUCAUAAGAGCCACAGCAGCAGGUCAGCAUCCAGAGCCUGGUGAUCUGCACCAGCCCAGCCGGGGAAGUACAGGCCGACGCGGCGAGCGAGCUGCCAUCCGCUCACUCAGGAGUGGCUUCGCAGAUGAGACGCCGCAUGGACCAUUGUGCCUCUCCUCCCUUCACAUCCAUCAUGUGAAAAUGAGUUCACAUGCAUCACUGCUAACAUAAUGUUCUUAAGAGGCUAAGGGAAAGGCUCACCUAACAUGCAAGAUGGCACAAUAAAGAAGAACCCACUGACAUUAAUGAAAAUGUAUACCAUUUAAAACUACCAGAAGCAAUGGCUGAGAGGAAGACAAAGCAUUAUUUAUUAAUAGUAAAUGGCUUAGUGGACCGGCUGUUGAUGGCAUGGGCUAUUUUAAUACCGUCUCCAUACACUUGAUGUUCUUUGUUGCCAGGUUCUUCUUCAGGGAAUCAAACUGUUAUAAUGUUCUUUUGCUGAUUGGACUAUGUUUGGAUUAGCACUGGAACAUGAAAAGUGUCGGAAAAAGAAAGAAACCGCGGACAGUCUGAAAUCAAAUAAAAAUCAAAUUAAAUUUUUUUCAUUGUCUUUCAAAUAU